UUCCCUGGGAUCUUGUUAAAAUGCAGAUUCUGAUUCAGUAGAUCAGCGGUGGGACCUGAGAUUCUUCAUUUCUAACAAGCUCCCAAUUGAUGCUGA
rnacentral:pre_miRNA from 1 species